AUUGAACGCUGGCGGCAGGCCUAACACAUGCAAGUCGAGCGGAUGAAGGGAGCUUGCUCCUGGAUUCAGCGGCGGACGGGUGAGUAAUGCCUAGGAAUCUGCCUGGUAGUGGGGGAUAACGUCCGGAAACGGGCGCUAAUACCGCAUACGUCCUGAAGGAGAAAGUGGGGGAUCUUCGGACCUCACGCUAUCAGAUGAGCCUAGGUCGGAUUAGCUAGUUGGUGGGGUAAAGGCCUACCAAGGCGACGAUCCGUAACUGGUCUGAGAGGAUGAUCAGUCACACUGGAACUGAGACACGGUCCAGACUCCUACGGGAGGCAGCAGUGGGGAAUAUUGGACAAUGGGCGAAAGCCUGAUCCAGCCAUGCCGCGUGUGUGAAGAAGGUCUUCGGAUUGUAAAGCACUUUAAGUUGAGAGGAAGGGCAGUAAGUUAAUACCUUGCUGUUUUGACGUUACCAACAGAAUAAGCACCGGCUAACUUCGUG
rnacentral:rRNA from 1 species